ACACAAGAUGGUUGAUACACAGCCUCAUAGACAAACAAUCUCACUGAUAUACAUAAGGCCAUUGACAUAAAAACACAAGCUCACUCAGUAGCAGGCCCACUCACUAGCAGGCGCGCACACACAGCUUAAUGUAGUGGCUCUGGUGUCUAUAGCCUGUCCCUGCAGGCUUUUCAAUGUAAAUACUGACUUUUUAGAGAAAAGGCAGUGUUUACAUUGCUUCCUAGUGACAGACACUCAGACGGUCACUAGAGGUGCUUCCUGUGUCAGUGCGGCUUGGCUGACCUCAUCAAGCUUGAUGAUCUCAGCCGUAGAGGCAGGGCCAGUCGAAGGGAGACCAGCACGACGUGGGGGGAAAAAAAAGGUGAGUAAAAACACACACAUACCAUAACAGACCGACCGUGACACACACACACACACACCAUGACACACAGACACACACACCACGACAGAGAGAGACCGUGACACACACACACACACAUCAUGACACCGACACACAGACAGACACCGACACACACCAUGACACAGACACACACAAUUUCUACCUGUGGGGAGCUCUUCUGGCGGCUGCAUG